rnacentral:rRNA from 1 species
AUGAUAUGCUUUUUUGCGGUGGAGUGGCAUCUUCCACAUCGUGUUUCGAAGCAAUUUGGAGUACAACAACGCACCCCGCCGGAGUAUGUUGAGACAAGUGUGGUGCUACAUAGGACGAGCUGGCAACACAACAAGAAUGUCAUUAAUUGGGAGGAUCACCAUCUUAUGUGGGUGGACAUGUGGAAUGCUCAGAGGAAUGCCCGAGUUGAAGAUGAUCACACACCUGACAAUGACGAGGGGGCAUAUUUAAGGCAUUUGGAGUGGCUUCGCAAAGAGUACAGAGUUAUCCUUAAGGGUGCUUGGACUCGUGCCGAUUGCUUGGAAUUAAUGCCAAGUGAGGCUGCUGAUUGUGCAUUCAACAACUCUAUUAGGGAGACCAUUGGAGAGCACCUAGAUUAUGGCCCUCUGCAUGACUGA